rnacentral:rRNA from 1 species
UACGUAGGGUGCGAGCGUUGUCCGGAAUUAUUGGGCGUAAAGAGCUUGUAGGUGGUUUGUCGCGUCUGCUGUGAAAUCCCGAGGCUCAACCUCGGGUCUGCAGUCGAUACGAGCAAACUAGAGUGUUGCAGGGGAGACUGGAAUUCCUGGUGUAGCGGUGAAAUGCGCAGAUAUCAGGAGGAACACCGGUGGCGAAGGCGGGUCUCUGGGCAACAACUGACGCUGAGGAGCGAAAGCGUGGGGAGCGAACAGG